rnacentral:rRNA from 1 species
GUAUAUUGACUGUACAAAGGUAGCAUAAUCAUUAGUCAUUUAAUUGAUGACUUGUAUGAAAGAUUGGAUGAAAUAUAAUCUGUCUCUUAAUUAAUAGUAGAAUUUAAUUUUUUAAUUAAAAAGUUAAAAUAGUUUAAAAAGACGAGAAGACCCUAUAGAGUUUUAUAAUUAAAUUAAUUAAGAUUAUUUAAUAAUAUAAAAUUAAAAUUAAUUUAUUUAUUAUAUUGGGGUGAUAGAAAAAUAUAAUUAACUUUUUAUAUAAGUAAACAUUUAUAAGUGAUUAAAUGAUCCAAUAUUAUUGAUUAUAAGAAAAAAUUACCUUAGGGAUAACAGCGUAAUUUUUUUUUUUAGUUCAUAUAAAAAAAAGAGUUUGCGACCUCGAUGUUGGAUUAAGAUAAAAUUUAAAUGCAGAAG